GUCUCCGGAAAGAAUAGGAAGUGCCGUAUGACACUCCAAGCUGCAGCGGUGGUUGUGCGAUUGCGCUCCGCCCGUCUUUUCCCAUCCACCUUUUGCCCAUGUUUUCGCCGUGAAAGCCUUGGUUCAACUGGUCGGGAAAGUUUGGGCUGCUCAGCUUUCGCACCACUGCUGUGUGUGUGAUUUGGAACGGGUCUCUGAGGU